rnacentral:rRNA from 1 species
AUACGGAGGAUCCGAGCGUUAUCCGGAUUUAUUGGGUUUAAAGGGUGCGCAGGCGGCCAUUUAAGUCAGCGGUUAAAUCGUGGGGCUCAACCCCAUUCUGCCGUUGAUACUGGGUGGCUUGAUUGCGGUCGAGGUUGGCGGAAUUCGUUGUGUAGCGGUGAAAUGCAUAGAUAUGACGAAGAACACCGAUUGCGUAGGCAGCUGACCAGACCGCAAAUGACGCUCAUGCACGAAAGUGCGGGGAUCGAACAGGAUUAGAUUCCCUGGUAGUCCGCACAGUAAACGAUGAAUACUUGUUUUCGGCGAUAUAAUGUCGGAGGCAAAGCGAAAGCGAUAAGUAUUCCACCUGGGGAGUACGCCGGCAACGGUGAAACUCAAAUGAAUUGACGGGG